GACAGUGGUUGGUCGAGGUGGUGUCUGGCAACCCCAUCGUGGUUGCAGAUCAGCUGAUACACCAAGGCGUCCCUUAAGUUAUAAAUGUCCUUUCUGUACUUUGGUGGCACCAACUAGUACCUACAUUAUUGAUCAUCAAGUGUUUGCCCACUCACACCUUGUUCAACAGAGAGAAGAUGCACUGAUUGUAGAAGUAUCAGGCUCACAAGGUGAUGUCUCUGAGUCGCCUGAUGAACCGUUAACUCUUGAAGUGACAUGUGAAGGAACCCCUCACCCCUUUGAGGGAAGUACACAAUUUGCCUCAUGGGAACUUCACAGCAUUACAGUGCAGGCAGAAGUGGAGUAACCUGUUGAAGGCAUACAAAAAAUACAUAGACAAUGUCAAUAAAACAGGGGCACCACCAAUCCCUCAACCUUCUCACUUUGACAUUCUCCAUGGUCUCCUUCGGGGCUCCCACAGCAUUGAACCACGGAACCUCUUUGAA